UCCUCCAAGGCUAAAUACUCCUGACUGACCGAUAGUGAACCAGUACCGUGAGGGAAAGGCGAAAAGAACCCCGGCGAGGGGAGUGAAAAAGAACCUGAAACCGUGUACGUACAAGCAGUGGGAGCACCCUUCGGGGUGUGACUGCGUACCUUUUGUAUAAUGGGUCAGCGACUUAUAUUCUGUAGCAAGGUUAACCGAAUAGGGGAGCCGGAGGGAAACCGAGUCUUAAUUGGGCGUUAAGUUGCAGGGUAUAGACCCGAAACCCGGUGAUCUAGCCAUGGGCAGGUUGAAGGUUGGGUAACACUAACUGGAGGACCGAACCGACUAAUGUUGAAAAAUUAGCGGAUGACCUGUGGCU
rnacentral:rRNA from 1 species